UACGGAGGGUGCAAACGUUGCUCGGAAUCAUUGGGCGUAAAGCGCACGUAGGCGGUCUUUUAAGUCGGGUGUGAAAUCCCUCAGCUUAACUGAGGAAGUGCAUUCGAAACUAGAGGACUUGAAUACUCAAGAGGGUCUCGGAAUUCCCGGUGUAGAGGUGAAAUUCGUAGAUAUCGGGAGGAACACCAGUGGCGAAGGCGGAGACCUGGGGAGAUAUUGACGCUGAGGUGCGAAAGCGUGGGGAGCAAACAGG
rnacentral:rRNA from 1 species